UUUCCAAAUUCAUACGCGGGCCAAAAUUUCACUUUCCCAAAUAUUUUCCGCUCGAAAUUUCAGCUUGCCUCUCAAAAGUCUUCAGUUUCCCAAUUAAUCUCUACUUUCAUUUUCUGAAACUAAAAACCCUAAAAGCUUCUUCACUUGGCUGAAAGUUGUUCUUGAGCUCUCCAUCUCCCACGACUGUUCAAAAUAUGCUCCUCUUAAUUUUUCCUACUAUUCCGGUAGAUCUACUCUUAGUUUGCGAUAUCAAACAAUUUAAGAGGUAGGGUAAAAUUAGAAGUGCCAAAAAUUUGGGGUAAUCUGCGAGCCAAGAGGAGCGACCUCCUCUCAUCCUUCAAAAUCCAACAUUUCUAGAGGCCAGAAAAAUUGAUGAUCCUAAAGAAGCAAUUAGGAUGUUUCUCUUUUUGAAAGGUCAUUGAAGGACGAUGGUGUAUAGUUAGGAGCAAAUGAUGAAGAACUAAGGACAUCAAUAUGAAUGAUCACGAGGCUCAUGUUUCCCAUAUUUUGGAUUUUCUAAAAUAAUAUUUUUGAACAGACUCUUUUUUGGCAUCAAAAGUACAAUUAAUUAUGUGAAAUGUAUUACCGUAUUUGGUGUCCUUGAUACGCUUAUGUUUGUGAAAACGUAGUACUUUUGAAGGUUGUAUAUAUAUUAUAUAUAAAAUUUUAUUUUAUUCUCAA